GGAGAUAUAGUUCACUAGGUAGAAUAUUUGCUUGCUAUGUAUGUGACCCAGGUUCAAGACCUGGCAUCACAU
rnacentral:tRNA from 1 species